GAUGAACGCUGGCGGCGUGCCUAAUACAUGCAAGUAGAACGCUGAAGGAAGGAGCUUGCUCUUUCCGGAUGAGUUGCGAACGGGUGAGUAACGCGUAGGUAACCUGCCUGGUAGCGGGGGAUAACUAUUGGAAACGAUAGCUAAUACCGCAUAACAGUAGAUAUUGCAUGAUAUCUGCUUGAAAGGGGCAAUUGCUCCACUACCAGAUGGACCUGCGUUGUAUUAGCUAGUUGGUGAGGUAACGGCUCACCAAGGCGACGAUACAUAGCCGACCUGAGAGGGUGAUCGGCCACACUGGGACUGAGACACGGCCCAGACUCCUACGGGAGGCAGCAGUAGGGAAUCUUCGGCAAUGGACGGAAGUCUGACCGAGCAACGCCGCGUGAGUGAAGAAGGUUUUCGGAUCGUAAAGCUCUGUUGUAAGAGAAGAACGAGUGUGAGAGUGGAAAGUUCACACUGUGACGGUAUCUUACCAGAAAGGGACGGCUAACUACGU
rnacentral:rRNA from 1 species